rnacentral:lncRNA from 10 species
AAAAAUGUUGAAUAUCAACAAUGGGUUUCAGUGCUGUAUUGUUGAGUUUUGUAUGAACUAAUCUAGCUUCUCUAAAAAAAAAAAAAAAAAAAAAAAAAAGAAAGAAAAGAAAGAAAGAAAAGAAAGAAAGAAAGAAAAAAAAAGAAAAGAAAAAAAAGAGAACCACAGCUUUGGACAAAAGUCUAUAGCCAGUGCAUUUGAAAACUCCCCUUGCACCAGGGCUGACUGUAGCUGGGGGAAGACAUUUUACUCAUUUGCUCUUUCCUUUCAUACAGUCAGCUGGUCCCUCUUCUCAGGUGUAGAUCACCUAUUAUAAUUUUACCUAAUUUUGAUACUCUGAUAAGGAAAGUCCCAGGACUUAUCAGCUGGGAUAGGCCUCACUUACAAGACAGCUCUGUUCAGUAUUUGGAAGAAAGCCUGACAGGUUUCUUCGGAAAAGUGGCCAUCCAUGGAAUGAAUGAAAUGUUCUCUUUCUAUUCCAGGGAUUGCAGUGGCAAAGCUAGGCUAGGUCUUGGAGGCUGGUGUAAGGCGAUGUGGGUGAAGGCAGGAGGCUGAUGGAAAGACUGGGGGGAAGAAAAGCCGAAAUGGAUUCACGGUGCCUUGGAUGAAGGACGAGAGGGGAACUGCAAGCUCCUUCAACUGGUUCUGUCCGGUGAGAAGUGAUCAAGCUUGGGCUGACAAGAGGCUCAGGGAGCCCUCACGUUCUUUCGCUUUUUUACCUGCCAAUCAAACUGCUACAAGACAACACCCUGAUCUGGCAUGGACAUAUCCAACUUAGAAAUAAUGUUUCAUUCAAGAUAAGGCUCGUGGCUUAGGAGAUUGUGACCUGGCUUGCAUCAUUCUAAGACUUCUAUCGUCUGUUUUCAAAACCCAAGGAGGACCUCCUUUUCUGUGUGAUAGUUCCUCAUGCUUUGCCAGCCACUGGGUCUUUAAGGAAGCUUGCCAAGAGUUCCCGGCUGGGAAGGACAGUUCGAGUUCAUCAUAGACAAUGAGCUGGCACCACAGUUUAAGUGACUCACCAACCUGGUUGCCCACUUCAAAAUGUCAAGAACCACACUAUCUAAUUGAAAGAACUGUGUUUUAGCAAAGUGUAAUUGGAUCGCCUGGCAAGAUCAUCUCAAACUAUGUCUCUGACCUUGCCUUUCAGUGGCUAUUUUGAGCACAAGAGGAGAAAGGAAAUGAUUCCUGAAUUAUAUCUUGUUUUUAAAAAUUAAGAUUAAUUAAUACUUGGUUUUAUGUUCAUUCCAUUGUAGGAACUUAGUGAUUAUUACAAAACAGUCAAAAUAGGUCAUAGCAAAAUGAACGUUUAAGAUUAGGUUAAAACAUUCCUCUGAAAUUUUAGUAUUCACUUUUGAAGUGUCAAUUACUAUAUUUCUGUAAUUUCUCAUUUUUUUCUUGGCUUAGAGUCAAGAUGAAAAAUGAUAUUUGAAUCAAAGACAUUGUUUUGUUAUAUAGCCACUCCUUUCUAAAAUGCAAAUCCACCCUCCCCUCACCAAUGCUUUAUUCUUUGUGCGCGCACACACACACACACACACACACACACACACACACACACACAGACAUACACAGAACCAGCACCCAAAUGGUAGAGGAGGUCCUUCCAAGACUUCUAGGACCUGGAUCAUGUAAGCAGUAGAUGAGAAAAUGAAGUAAGAGAUAUAGAGUAAUAACAAUAAAAGUCAAUGAUUUCAUUUUACAAAAAAGUCAUUGUGUAGUACUCAGAUAUUUUUAAGAGCAAGUAUUAUUAUGACUAAAGUAUAUUAUACUUCUAAAUUAUUAUGAUUCUCAUCUAAUUUCAAGCCACACAUAGGCGCCAUUUGAAAGCAUUUUGUGUUACAACCUAUCAACAAAAAUCAACUAAUAGUUUUAUAACGUGCAUAGGUUUACCCCAUGGGGAAUUAAAAUUUUUAUCUGCAAGUAUUUCUGUUGUUGUGAGACUUUAGGACAAGACAACAUUUGGUGUUAACAUAGAAGAAUAUUCUAUGGCUUUUUUAGCUUUAAAGUUCAUUACUCUAAAAUAAAGUACACGUGGUAUUUUUUUCUUCCUAGUGUUCUCUUAUUAUAUGUAGAGUAUUUUCGGUUGUUGUUUUUAACGUAUACAUUAUUUUUAUUAAGUCAUUUCAUAAAAGAUAAGAUAUAUACUAAUAGACCCUUGGUUUUCUCCUAAUUUAAUUAUUUCAAGUCAAGCAAAAUUGGGCAAUUUUCUUUCAGGAAAAAAAAAAUAUUGAGCAUGAUUUUGAGGUAAAACUGAUUAUUUACAGCAUCUUUUCUCUAAUAGGCUAACAUUUAUGAUGGAUCUUAUUUCAAAGUUGAUUAUUCUCAAAGAAAAGUGGAGAUAUUAGAAUUUCCGAGUAAAUUGCAUUGUUUUAAAAAGUACUUUAAUGCAUUGUUCACAUUGUUGCCAGCUAUUGACCAAAAAAGAGAAGAAGAAAAAAGAAAUAAAAAAAGCAGUAUCUGCUCCAAACGUCAAGUUUUGCAGUUUGAAAGACUUGUACAUUAUAAUUGUUUUUUUCUUUUUUGGAAAGCAGUAGUAAUUAAUACCAAAGGCAUAGACAAUUUAGGGCCAUAACCUCCCUUCCCCCCUCUCCACCUUUUUUUUUUUUUUUUUUUUUUUUUAACUUUAACCAUGAUAGGCAUCUCUGCAAGGUAGGUUUUAACAUAUUUUUUUCCUAAUUUUUUUCCCUCCAUUCAGUAAGAAGGAUAAGCUUUUAGAGUACCCAGUCACCGUGGUAACUGCCAAAAAAAUUCUCCUGAAGUUUGAAGAGGUCAGCUAGCAGGGUCAACAACCCUGGCCUCUCUCUGAGCUCGGUCUAGCAUGCCCCAGCCUGCGGUUGGAGUGUCAGGCCAGAUCUGACCCUGGGAGGUGGACCAUUCUGGCUCUGAUAUAAAUUUUUCGAGUCAGUUCAUGGCCUGGACUCUCCAGGUGGCCUCCAAAAUCGAUUUUGACCCCCUGACCCUGUCUCACGGAGGCAUAGCAUCCACCCUAAGUAAGGAUUUAGCCAGGAAUGACAGCUUUCCACUGAGUGUUAUUGGGGACAGUAUAAACAGUUUGGAAAGCAAGUAAGGAGGUGUGAGGGCUAGCAAUCAUUAAAAGCACAUUAAAAAACAAUUUUUAAAAAUCUUUAUUAGAGAAAGUUGUAAAUGCAUAUCUGUUACAGAAUUCCUGUGAUUUGUAGAGUUUUCUAGUCAGUUUUGAAUAUAAAUAGGUCACAUAUCUUUAUCUUUUUGCAUACUUUGUUACAAAUAUGCAAAUAAGAUAGGCAUACUUGCUACAAAAUAGGUACAGCAGGAAUGUAAUAUGUUCAGAAAAGGCAAACUGGUUAUUAAAACACAUUAACAGGUAAGGAGUUUCUAAUAUUUUAAAUACUAAAAUUUUACAUGUGUAUUUUGAAGUUUUUAAAAUGGAAAAAUAAAGAACCUUUAA